UCAGGGCAUCAAGAUCGUCAAUGAAGCCAACAUGCGAUGCCAAAAACGUGAUCUUGUCCUUCAGAUCUUUCAGCAAAUUCUGUUCGUUCUCGUCAACAAAAGCCACCAUUGUGUCAGAGAUGGUGGUCAUGACUUGCCCUGUUAGACUCUUGCUCUCUUGGUCAACUUUUUCAAGUUUAGCAGCCAGCUCUCUCAUCAUGCUCUCAGUCACCUUGGUCUGUGAGUCUCCCCUUACCGGUGUCACUAGAGAGGUUUGACUUGCGGAGGCACUCUUAACGACCACUGAUAAGGCCGACUUGACAUCUUUAGCCAACUCUGCCAUUACAGCAGGGGUUAGCAUCAUAGAGCCUGCACUUCCAGAUGGAGAAUUGGACAUGCAUGCAAGUUUGGAGAGAGAACCUUGCAGGCUGUCCUGCACACAGGUGACGAGGGUGUCCUCUGAGACACCUAAGAGGACUUGUAGCGUCUCAGAGUUGGUUGUUUUCUUCUGCACAUCAGACAGAGAGGUUAGAGUCCUUGGGAAAAAAAAAAACAGAAAUCAUCAAAGUCAAACAAAUAAUAUGUAAGGCUGUGAUGCACAUUCAGUGUGUCAAAUACAUCUGCACCAUUGAAAACAAUGAGGAAAACGCUGCUGUUUCUCUGAGAAAAAACCUUAGUGUGAUGUCAGCCUAACUGCUUAAUUUCUAAAGCCCAAUAAAAUGUAUUUUAUAUCUAUCUAUCCUGGCAAUAUCUAUCCUCUACAAAAAUCCAAAUUGCUAUAAACUUCAAAUACUGUAACUUCUAAUAACUUCAAGGACAAUCAUAAAUACAAGGCAGUUUGAAGAAAUGUUAAAGGGAAAUUUCUAAAUGUUUCAACUUCAUAUUCAUCAUCUCCAGCACCACCCCAACAUCAGCAUAUGUGAAAAACGGGCAUUUCUAUGUUUUGUAGUAAAAAAGAAAGAGGAAGAUAAGUGUUUUCUAUGACAUCAUCAACCAAUUAGUAGGCAAUGCCUACUCAUAAUUGGUUAAAAUCACACGAUGCACACUGAUGAUGUCAUUAGAAUCUAGAGCUGAGCAUUUAACCAACAUUUUUGUUAUUUUUCGGUUUUUAAACAACUAAUUGACCGACGUCGGCUCAAUUAUUUGAAUUCCAUAUAGUUAAUUUUUUUCUUCUUCUGUGAGCUCGAUGCUCAGUUUCUGUAGAGAUAAAUCAGAUCAAGCACGAACUAUGCAAUGUAGUAGGGAGUUGUAGUUUCCAACAGGCCAAUAUUCUACAUAGUUUAGCACAGAAAAAAUGGCAAUUAAAGCCCAUAAUCCAUUGCACGCCCACUUGUUUGUCCACUCUGUGUGGAGCAGAUACGGAAA
ensembl:lncRNA